rnacentral:rRNA from 1 species
AUUGAACGCUGGCGGCAGGCCUAACACAUGCAAGUCGAACGGUAGCACAGAGAGCUUGCUCUCGGGUGACGAGUGGCGGACGGGUGAGUAACGUCUGGGAAACUGCCCGAUGGAGGGGGAUAACUACUGGAAACGGUAGCUAAUACCGCAUAACGUCGCAAGACCAAAGUGGGGGACCUUCGGGCCUCACACCAUCGGAUGUGCCCAGAUGGGAUUAGCUAGUAGGUGGGGUAAUGGCUCACCUAGGCGACGAUCCCUAGCUGGUCUGAGAGGAUGACCAGCCACACUGGAACUGAGACACGGUCCAGACUCCUACGGGAGGCAGCAGUGGGGAAUAUUGCACAAUGGGCGCAAGCCUGAUGCAGCCAUGCCGCGUGUAUGAAGAAGGCCUUCGGGUUGUAAAGUACUUUCAGCGGGGAGGAAGGCGGUGAAGUUAAUAACUUCACCGAUUGACGUUACCCGCAGAGGAAGCACCGGCUAACUCCGUGCCAGCCGCCGCCGUAA